UAGGGAAUCUUCGGCAAUGGACGCAAGUCUGACCGAGCAACGCCGCGUGAGUGAAGAAGGUUUUCGGAUCGUAAAACUCUGUUGUUAGAGAAGAACAAGGACGUUAGUAACUGAACGUCCCCUGACGGUAUCUAACCAGAAAGCCACGGCUAACUACGUGCCAGCAGCCGCGGUAAUACGUAGGUGGCAAGCGUUGUCCGGAUUUAUUGGGCGUAAAGCGAGCGCAGGCGGUUUCUUAAGUCUGAUGUGAAAGCCCCCGGCUCAACCGGGGAGGGUCAUUGGAAACUGGGAGGCGUGAGUGCAGGAGAGGAGGGUGGAAUUCCAUGUGUGGCGGUGAAAUGCGUAGAUAUAUGGAGGAACACCAGUGGCGAAGGCGGCUCUCUGGUCUGUAACUGACGCUGGGGCUCGAAAGCGUGGGGAGCAAACAGG
rnacentral:rRNA from 1 species